rnacentral:lncRNA from 1 species
CUUUCUCAAAGGUUUGCCACCUAGUGUCUAUAAUGGCAAUAAAGCAUGUGAUAUCUUUUCCAACUAGGAACAAUGGUUGUAUCCCUAUCUGGAUGGCUCCAAGGUGCAAUCCCUUGUGGUGGCAAACCUUUGAGAAAGUCUUGAUUAUUGUCGUCGAAGCAGGACUCAACCAAGGUCAUGUUGUUCUCCAAGUUGAACCAAAUUUCACCCUUGACAUACACAAGCCAUCCCUCACAGAUGCCAUUAAGGUAUUAAUUCAGGUUAAUGGUUUAACCAUGAAACCUGACGAAUCUGCCUUGGCAAUCCACCACACCAUGACCUAUAAAGUCCAAACCCAUCUGUUCUUUAUGAGCAGUUUUGGCAAACCUAUUACCAGGUUUCUUGCUGGUGAUGGCAGAGUCUUCCAACCUAGGACUUAUAGGCAAAAUUAACUCAUUUUUCCACCACAAUGGAUCAAUGAGUAUGAGAAAAACAACAGGCCUCAACAGAUCCAUGAGGUCCCAAAAAUAAGCCGAUUCCAAGAAGGAAGGGUAUCUGUCUCUUUUCCCACUGAGACUAAAGCCCUCUAUCCAUGUGAGAAGUGCCAGCUUGAAGGAAAGCAUCCCUCCUUGUGCACACAUAUGCCAAGGAGAACCACUUCCUACAGAAUCAUGAGUCUAGUCAACAUGAUCACCACUCCAGACCUUGAUAAUGAAUUCAUCUAUAUAUAUAUCUAUAUAUAUAUAUGUUUUGCGGUUUAUAUUAAUCUCAUUUAUUUAAUUUGGUGAGUCAAUACUUUUAAAUAUCGUACGGACAAGGGUUGGGCAUUUGAUUUGGUUUAACAGGCAAAAACCGAACGGUUUCAAUUUCCUUGCACCCAACGGUUUAUGUUCGGUUCUUUUCUAAAACCGAACCGAACGCAUGAACCGUUCGGUUCAGGAACCUUUAAUUUAAAAAAAAAAGGCUAAAUGCACGCAGACCGGCGGAUGCAGCAGCCGCCAGCCCCUCGCUCUCUCACUCUCUCCGUGGCGUCUCCGGUCGGCAUCUCACUCUCAUGCUCUCCGUCAGCCCGUCACUCACGCAAUCGUGAUUCAGUUUCUGAUUAGCUCGCGGCAGGUGGCAGACGGCAGAUCGUGGUCGUGAUUCAGCCAUCUCGUUGCCAGCUGGCAGCUGUUACCUUCGCAACCUCAUUCAGCCAUUGACAUCGUGCCGGCCGCCGGAGACGGUGAGUUGUUGACUUCGUUCUUUAUUUUUAUUUAUUUUUCGUUAAUUUUUGUCCUUAAUUCAAUUAAUCAAAUUAAUUACUCGGUUGAGUUGUGGUUCGUAGUCUAAUUUAAUACUCGGCAUCAGAUAUUUUAAUUUUUUUUUCCUUCCAUUCGGCAUUCAUACAGUUUUUUAUAAUUUGAUUUCGGUCAUGAUGCUGUUGCUAAUGAAAUUGGAUGUGGAUAAUUGGUGCACUGAAAUGAAUAUGAGAUUGUAACGAGGAAUAUACUGGAAUGUAUAUUAUGAGAUUGUAAUGAGGUUGAUGCAUUUUUUCACUCUAUUAAUAUAAAGAAUAAUAUAGAAGUUUGAUUUUAGACUAAAUUAAUUAUCAAUGAAAUGAAAUGAAAUUAACAAAACUUAUGGUGGUAAAAUGAAUUUUGGGUUUGUCAAAUGUCGGAAUCUUGUUCGCAAAUAAAUAUGAGAUUGUAACGAGAAAUGUACUGGAAUAGAUGAUCAUAAUUGAUUUGAUUUUUGUCAUAAUGUUUGUCAAACCGAACCAAAAUCUAGAAUGAUUUUUGUAAUUUUCUUAAUUUUAGACAUUAUUUGGGCUUGAAUUAAAAUUAUUGAAAAAGAAAACUCACGUGGCUGUGUUUGUGCAUCUGUUACUACAAUAAUGUAUUUUUUCUAAAUAUUUUAAUUUCUUUUCUAGAAUUUAUUUGCGCUUUUCAAUCUUAUCAAGUUUAGAGUUAAUAACUGAAAGUCAGCUGAUAUAAAUUUAUUGUUUAUAAAAAAUAUGAAAGUUUGAUGUUAAGAGACAAUACAAUGAAGAAAAUUAUUUCAGUAGUAAAUAAUUAAUUCUUUUAGAAGAAAAAUAAAAACAAAUUUAUAAGAUGUUUAUAAAAAAUAUGGAUUUUAAUCUUGUUAAGUUAUUGUAACUAUAUCUUGCCGAUUGAUUUAUCAUAAUGAACCUAAACGUGUACUUUCUUAUUUAUACUCUUCUUAUAUUUUUGUUGUGCUGGUUUCAAAUUUGCAGCAACUAAGAUACCAAAACUUUGAACAGUCUUUAGUGAAGCAUCAAUUUGGAAUACAUUGACAGCGUGAUCAUAAAAUGUCUUCUCUUAGGAAUGCAAUUCCUAGAAGGGCUCAUAAGGAGAGAGCUCAACCGUAAGUGACUACUUUUUCUUUUUAAAGUUCUUUCCUUUUGGGAAGUUAUUUGGAAACCCUUUUGAGAUGAAAUAUCUUUGAUCCAUGAUAGGCAAUCGAGGAAGAAGUUUGGGCUUCUUGAAAAGCACAAGGACUAUGUUGUUCGUGCAAAAGCAUAUCACAAGAAGGAGGAGACUAUACGGGUGACAUUUCUACUGCCACAAUUAUGUUUUAAUUCCUGCAUUGUCAUUCGUCUUCACUUCUAUUUAAUUGUUAGAUAUUGUCCAUGCUUGUGCAUGGCUGUGCUUUGUUCUGUGUGGUUACAGAGACUCAAAGAGAAGGCAGCAUUUAGGAACCCGGAUGAAUUUUACCUCAAAAUGAUCAAAACGAAAAUUGUUGAUGGAGUGCACAGACUAGAGUAAGUUUACCAUCGCAUUGCUUUUCUUCGUAAUAAUUUCUUCUUGUUUGCAAAUUGUGAUUGACUGCUUGGUCUUAUUCUUUUAGGAGUGAGGCAAACAAGUACACUCAAGAAGAACUUAUUUUGAUGAAGACCCAGGAUAUAGGAUAUAUUCUUCAGAAACUGCAAAGUGAAAGAAAUGUAAGAAAUUGCUUCUAUAUUGUGUUUAUGGUGCAUAUAAGGAUUGCCUUUUCAAUUACAUUCGACAUAGUUCUUUAAAAAACUAUUUUUUGGUGCAGAAAAUUGAAAAGUUAACUACCAUGUUGCACUCUCUUGAUAGUAAUCUAUCUAGCAGACAUGUUUACUAUGCUGAAGACAGGUUUAUGUUAUCAAAGCUUCCAUUUUUUUCUGAAGGCAAUAAUAUUCUGGACUUGUUGGCAAUCUUAUAUAUGGAGAAUAUGUAGAUUCUUAAUAAAGAUAAGAGUGCUUGAAUGAUUGUUACUUUUAUAACUUCUGAAUUUUUAUGUGGUUAUCUCCUCCGUUUUUAAUUUGAAUACUGAGUUAGAAUACCUCAGUCGUGUAAUGUGAUGCUAACUAUAACAUUAUUAGUACACUAAUUGUUUUUUUCAAUGCCAUUAAUAUAUUAGCUCUUAGUUUAAUAAAAUUUCAAGUAGCAUUAUUAGCAUUGUACUGUUGGGCUCUUUUGUGUCAGAAAGUAUUAUUACGAUGCGAGUGCUGAAAAUCUGGAGUAUUUUCCAAUGUUUUGAGUUGUCUGGUGCAAUUAGUUCUCCUCCCUUCAUAUUUAUCUUUGCUUUUUUCUUUUUCCCAUUUUAGCUUGAAUUUGCUACAACAUGUUAAGCAAUCUGCAGAUCCUUGCAAUAUUUGAUUUGAAGUUACGGUGCAUAUUUGGAUUACUUUUGUUCUGUACUUAUUGUAUUUCGUGCAGGGAAGAGACAAAAGAAAUAAAAUAUAUAUCUGGACGAAAAGCUACAUUGCCUGUUUUUGACGACAUUCCUGAUCACAUUAAGAGGUAGUUGUUGAAUGUUUAAUGCAUUGUGUUGGACAAAAUUACUCUCCACAACCUGAGCUUAUUCUUGUCUGAUGUUGUUCAACCUGAGCUGUUUUCCAACUCUUCACAGAGACACAGACUGUGUUGCAUAUUUUCCGUUUGCAGGAAGACUGCUGCUUCCUACAGAGAACUAGAAGGGAGGAAAAAGAGAGUACAGGAGUUGGAAAAGCUGUUUAUGGAUAUGUCAUUGCAGAAGGAAUUACAGGUAUAAAACGAUCUCUUACUCCCUUUCUCUAUCUGUCUAUUGUGUUGGACUUGGACGUUGAGGCUACUGAAAAUAUUUCUCCAUUUUUUAAUGAUUAGAAAAAGGGCCGGAAACGCAAACUACAUGAAGAAGAGAUUGUCUGUCCAUCCUCCAAGCCUGCAUAUAAGUGGCGGUCUGAGCGAAAGCGGUAAAGAGGGUACAUUUUUUAGGGAAUUUUGUCAAAUUAGGCCCAGUCCACUUGUUUUGUUACUAAGGAAUUUUGUCUGGUAGACUGAUAAUUCAUGAGCUGGGGCUGAAUUAGGCAGGACCGAGCAGUUUGCAUGAAGGAGCUGAUGAAUGAUGAUGAUGGGUGUGGAAACUGGAACGGAGUGUUGAAUAAUUUCAAAAUGUAAUCCUAAUAAUUUCUAAGUGUAGACUGACAUCCAAUUGAAUUUUUUGAGUGAUGUUUUGGCUGUAGUUUUUGUCGUAUGGUUUAACUUCAAUCAAUUUUAUCUUUAAAUUAAUGCAGGAUCUUUUCAUUAGGCUGUAUUUUAAUUGAAUUUGGGGGUGAACUUAGGGGUAAUGUGUAAUUAGGGUCUGUGUGCCUCUGGUUUGAUUUGAAAAAGCCAUAUCCUUCAUGAAUGUAACUUGGAAAACCCUUAUAAAUAUAACUAAAAUCAGUAAUUAAGGUGAGUAAAUGGAACAAAACACAGCCAUGCGCCAGCUGUCUAUUGCGAAUGGUCACACCUCCUGAAUUUUAGAAUAAAAAAUAAAAAAUAUAUUAAAAGACAGUUUAGAAAUUAAAAGAAAAAGAUAAAAUAUGGGUGUUAAAUAGAAUAUUUUUUGUCACAACUUGGCAAAACAAUUAAAAUUGUUUAGUCAUUAUCGAUAAUCAAUAGAGUGCUCGCUCAUAAAUUGGUUUAGUAAUAUCCACACACAAUAAAAUCAAUAUCAUAUAACACACACAAGAUAUCAUAUAAUCACAAUUAUUAAUUUCUUAUUUUAUUAAUAUAUAACAUCAAUUUCUCUACAAUUGAUGGUUGUUACAAAAGUAUUCAUCGUUAUAGGGGAUUAAAUAUGGAACAUACUUAGCCUUCUUGAUCAAACAUUCUUCAGUUGUGAAUCCUGAGCAAAAACUAUCAGGUGAUAUUGUAGAAUUUGUAGAAGAUAAAACAUAUGACUUAAAUUCUUGAUCAGUCUUAGUACUUAAAACAAAUAUGCUUUCAGUGCUUGUCACUACAAACAAUGCCAAGAUGAUGAAUUUGAGAUUCUUCGACAUUUUAUAAUUUUUAAAUUAAAUUGUAAACAAUUUUUUUUUCUAUGUAGGGGCAAACAGCUUAAUUAAAAUUAAAAGAGAGGUGUAAGAAUUAGAAACAAUUGAGGCUAUAUAUAUAAAUAUGAAUGGGUCUUGUUAAGUUACAUUUUUAAGUAACUUACAGUCCAUGUAAAAAUUGGUGAGCAUGUUGUUAAUUUUGUAUUAUUUUACAUGGACUGUAAAUUACUUGAAAUGUAACUUAGCAAAACCUUAUAUGAAUAUUGAGAAACAAAUUACCAUAAUUUUCAUGGAAUUAUCAAUUCCACUAAUGAGUAUUGGAUAAAUCAAGUACAUUUGUUUAUAUUAACUAUUGACAAUAAUAUGUUGUAGAAUUAUCAUGUAUAAUAGUUGAAACGUACAUCUAAUUAAUUUUAACAUUUUUUACUACUAUUUUUUGUUUAAUUUAUGUCUUGUAUUUUUUUUAUAUUUAUUUAACGUAUGCCAAUUAUUAUUAUAAAUAUUGUUAUUUUGUGGAAUAUUAUUCAGAUUUAAAUGAAUUGACUCUGAGCACAGCGUGCAAGUCAAAAAUAUGACAUCACAAGAAGUGAUAGCAAAAAAACAAAAAUAGUAAUAGUGGUAAUCUAACAGAAUCAACAGAAAACCGUAAAUUGAAAAAAAAAAAAAAAAAAAAAAAAAAAGGGGGAAAGAGAGAGAGAGAAACACAAGCACAAGCACAAGCACAAGCACAAACACAAACUUCUGGCGCAGCAAAUGGCAUCGUUUGUGUCAAGCACUGUCUUGCUACUAACAUACGCUCCUCCUCAAACCCCACAACCACAGCUUCUUCUUCUUCUUCUUCUUCUCUCUUAACAACAAUCAACAAGCCGUUCGUUUGCCCAUUCUCUUCUUCAAACACUCAUGGCCGCAACAUAAUCCUCUUCUUCUCUCCGUUAUUUUUUUUUUUGAAAAAAAUAAUUUUCUUUAAAAACAAAAAGAAGAAGACAGAGGAAGAAAGGAGGCAAAGUAAUGGUGUCAAUACUUGCAUUUGCAUCAAAUUCAAGCACCGAUUCAUGCUGCACCACAUCGUCUCGUCUCAGUUGCUUUGCGCCUUUAUUAAAACCAAAUCCUAUUAAAUUUCUAAAGCAAAAACCUCGCAAAUGUCACUCCUUUAAUAAAAUACUCGCCGCUGCUGCUGCCUCGUCAUCCUCAUCGGCGCGGCAGCAGAUCGAAGAUGGCUCUGCGGAGCAGUUCUUGGAGAACAAUUCGAUAGCAGAUUUUAUGAGAUUCAAAAGAGGAAGCAAUGGUGGAGGCAGCGGCCAGCUUCAGACUGCUGUCGUCACUUAUCGAAAGAAGUUUCCUUGGUCCCUUCUUCCUCCUUUUCUUCAGGUAUUCUUAUUCUUUUUUUAUUUUUUAUUUCUUUUUUUGUUUUAGUGCUUCACCUGUUUUCUUGUUCAUUCCCAAUUCUACAAUUUUUCUUUUCUUAAAAAAAAAAAAUUUUAAUUUUGGAGUUUUCAGGUUGACUUGGUUUCAACAAUUCAUAUCGCGGAUAAAGAGUACGUUUACUUGUAGUAUAACUUUCUUAAAUCUUUCCUUUUUGAUUGCACUGUCAAUAUUUAUUAUUAUAGCUAUUAAUUAUUGGAAGCUAAAAUGUGUGCAAGUUGGCAAUUUUGCCGCCAAAAAUCAGUGUAAGUUAAGAGGUUUAGAUGAGUAACUAGGGAGUGAGUGCCCGUGUGUAACCCUUGUAAAUUGAUUGGUGCUACUCACAUAAGGGCAAAUUGUAAUUUGUAACCCCAAUUGCAGCCUGUUAUGGGGACAAAUCGAGGAAACAGGCAUGAAGCAUUGGAUUAUGUUUUUUAACUCUUAAUUUUACAUAUAAUUUUGACUAAUCAACCAUGCAUCAAAUUAUGAGUACCUUAAAGAAUAAAUAUGCAUAGAAGUAGCAUUUUGCUUUUGCCUUGUCGGUGGAAAGAAUAGGUUGAGCCCCUUGUGAGAUUUUACUUGCUGAUGACUACUGAUCCCCAGGCUCGUGUGAAUUUUUGUUUUGUUGGCUCAGUUGGUUAUUGUAUUUAUUUUUCCAAUCAAACCACUUUGAAAGAUAAAUAUUGCUGUGAAGGUACUUUGAAACCCUCCAGAGGGAACUUGAACUCUAUGAUUGUGUCCUUUAUGAGAUGGUAGCUAGCCGGGAGAGUUUAGAGAAAAGAAGAAAUUCUGUGGAUACGAAGAAGCUCAAAGGUUCACGCUCACGAGGUUUCAACAUUCUAGGAUGCAUCCAGCGGCAGAUGGCUCGAAUUCUUAUGCUUGAUUUCCAAUUAGACUGUCUUGAUUACCAGGCUGAGAAUUGGUACCAUGCAGAUCUUGAUUAUGAGACCUUCAAGUUACUUCAGGUUACUUGUCUUUUUCUUUUAUGAUUUGCCUUUCUCUCACUCUUAGUACCACUUUAUUGGUUUCACUUCUUAAAUUGAUGUAAUGAAUGAGAGCAUGAUCAUGAAGGCUAAAAAUAAUACAUGUUUUUAAUGUACUUCAUUCCUAUGUUCUCAUAUUAUAUUCUAUAUAUUAGCCAGAUGAUUCAAGAUGUUUCAAAUACAAGAUACAACAAAUAAUGAAAAACUGUGAGAGGGAGCCCAGGUUUUAGGCUUUCUUUAAGUGUAUUGUCCCUGCACUUCCAGGUGUUGAUGAAACCUAUAUUUUUAAUUAUUAUUUUAGUUUAGACCAUAAAUGGCCAUGUAUGUUUCUUGGGGUUUGAUGCAUUCCUGUACUUUUUUCUCUUGCAAACUUGGUGCAUUUUGCUCUGUUUGUGAAUGACAGCUGACUCCUACAUCUAAUACCAUUUUAUCUUUGCUUUCAGCUUGAGAAAGGUGAAAGCUUAUUUACAUUUGCAAGGGAUAUGACUCUCAAAUCAACUAAAGCUAUGGUGCAACCUUCAAUUCCAAAAGACCUUGAUCCUUGGAGAUCCAAGCUUUUAUGGGCUUCACGUGUACUUCCAAUGCCCCUUGUAGGCCUUCUCAUAAUUGGAAGUGUCUGUGCUGAUGUAGGAAGUCAGCCACCAGAAUAUCCAGAACUAGAAGCAUUAUCUAUGCUUGAUUUUGGUGCUGCAAUGAAGGUCUUCCUGGCAAAGCGACUAACAUCUGAGUGAGUAUUAAUCAGUUAUUUUGGUUUAUAUGUAGUUGUUUACCUGCUUUGUGGUGUGAUAACUAAUGUCUCAUGUUAUAUGACUUACCAGUCUCUUGUAUGUUGGUGUUAAAAUUCUCUUAUUACCUUGGUUAUUCUGGUUUGGUAACAGUGGCUCUUUUAGUUAAUAAUGAAAUCAUGAGAGUUACUUGUCUUUGCCACAGAUGAAAAAUGAUUUUAAGCAUGCAAAGUUUGCCAUCAUUUAUUUCUAAGAGAAAAUCUCUGAUAAGAGUACUAGCCAAACACUUUUUAUUUUGAUCCGUUGGUGGUCUGCCGCUAGUCCUAAAUCUGUAACCUUAAAAGUUUUUUAAGCUACUUGUCUUGCGGUUAUGUUUUUGAUUGAGGCAUAAUGGCUUCUACUUCACAGUCAUUGUGAGAUGGAAUUGCUAGCUGUAAUGUACAAGUGUGCGGGUGGAUGGUAAAUAUUAGCUACCUAGUAAAAGUAGAUGUUUUUACCAAGUAUCUUAGUUAUGUUACUUUCAAAGUUAAGUUGAAGCACAACAGUUCUGCAGAAACCUAUAAGGUAUAGUGUUUGAUCAUCGUAGGAAAAUGUUGGGCAUGGGGCUGGGGAUAAAAAUGAUGCACAGAUGUGCUGUGCUAUGUGUGUUUUAUUUGGUGAAAAGUCUUGCCAAUUAGUGGAUUGAUCAUACCAUCUAUUGUAUAGGUUCACUCAAGUGACUGCAGAUGUGGAGGAGAGCUCUGUCAUCAUUGGCGAGAGGAACAGAGCUGCAAUUGAAGCUCUUAGAAGAGCAAUUGAUGAGGGCCACAACAGGAUUGCCAUCCUGUAUGGUGGUGGCCACAUGCCAGACUUGGGAAGGCGAUUAAGGGAGGAGUUCGACCUUCUUCCAUCUCGGGUUCAGUGGAUAACAGCAUGGUCCAUAAGAAACCGUGACUUGAGUAGCAGUUCCUUUCCAUUUCUGAAGACAAUGGCUGAAGUUUUAGGUUGGCCAUUGAACCGAUACCAGACUUUAGCAUUGCUUAUUUUUUCUUCAGUCCUUGCACUGGAUCUCUGGUUUUGGGAACUCUUUUUCGGCACAACAGUGAAUUGGAUCUCCCAAAUUGCAUCCGAAGUUCACCAGUAUGUUGAACCGAUGUGAAAAUCUCAAUCUGUUUUUCAGUCAUUAAAAUUCACGAGGCCAAGGUAAUCUGCAAAUGCCUUUGUAAAUUUAUCCACCCAUGUCAUAUCAAAGGUGUAGUGAUUUGUUUGUCAAGCUACAAUCUUAAAACUGUAAAAUAUAAUUGAAAUCAAUUGAGAUCAAAGUUGCCGUGUUAUUCUUCCUUCCUUCCGUCCAUUUUCGUAUAAUUUUGUUGCGUAGCUGCAUCCAGAUUAUAGAUGUAACGAUUGUUGAAUGUAAAUUUGAAUCCAAAAUCUCUACCAACAAAGGUGGAGUGUUUGACGCAUUUCUAAGAAGAUUCACUCUUAAAAGUCUUAAAAAGAAAAUUAUAAAGCUUAAACACAUGACAAUUGACAUCACAAACAGAGACCUCUUCAUUAUUUGGUCAUUCAACAUUCUAGAACAUUUGUGCAACAGGAGUUAUAAAAACUAGAAACACAAAAGCAGAACCUUAGCCUAGGCUAUAAGUUAACCGUCUAACUAUUCAAACAAACAUCCAAAACUAGAAUCCAAACUCAACAGCAUAAUUCCUAACAUAACAAACUAUGAUGACGCUGAAGCCGCUGCAGCUCCAUUAAUCCUCGGAGCCAACAAUAUCACAAUGUGUCAAAUGGAAAGCUGGCAUUCUUACCAAACAAUGAAAUUCCAAAUAUACCUUCUCUGAAGUUAGUCUUGAAUCCAAAGGCACCGUACGUAGAUACCUCAUUCCCUGUCCCAGUAGUCUUUCUCCGAAUUGCCUUCAUGCUCUCCAGUUAUCUAAUUAUCCAAGAAAAUUAAAAAUACAAACUGUAACAGAUCAACAAUAGAAGCAUUAUACACAUUUAUACGACUAGAGGGAAAGCCACAUGAGCUGCAGCGACUAUGCUGGAGAUGGAAGCUGCGACGGCCACACCGCACCCAUAGCGUGUGAGUCUUGUUCCUUCUCUUCCCGAAGCUCCGUGUUCCUUUGCCCUGCCUCCAUUACAAAGAUACAACACCAUCAUCAUCAUCAUCAUUACUAUCAACUCUAAUGAGGGUGACAAUAUUUUUCUGUUUUGAGAUUGAUACAAGGGAAAGAAAUUACCAUUUUUCUUUCUGUUCUGGGUGUUUCUGAAGAUACCCAAUUGCUCUGCUUUUAUCUAAAACUCGACGAGAAUCCAGGAGGUGUCACCCCUUAGCAGUGACUUGUGCGUACACUGUUUGUUGGUCGCCGCUUUCAACAAUGCUUGUGGACACAAAAUGGGCGCCUGUGAGUUAUUUCUACGAGAAAGAGGAGAUUCAAGAACUAUGUGAGAUUCAUAAACAUUCAUGAAACUCUAGAAAAGGUACCAACUUACUGUCUUAUCAUUUUUUCCUUUUCCUCGUGUUUUAUACGUUAAUGGUUAAAAAUAUAUCAACUUUGAUUGGAGACAUUCUGACUCAAGCUUUACAAGUAAUGGAAAGUGGAAAUCUUUAGACCAAAUUUUUUGCCAUGAUAAGCUUAUUUCAUGCCAUAGGAACUUUGUGAUCCUGUUGUGCAUCACUAGCUCAUUAUGUCAAAAUCUGCAACUUUACUUAGAUUCGGCUGGCUGAAUGGUAAAUAUUGAAUUCUAGUCAAGACUUCUAGCUAAUGCUAAGCUGCGAGUAAUUCUCAGACUUGCUUUUCUGAUUUAAACAUUCUUCUAAAUUGCUCAUGCAAUUUUGGGAUAGUGUGUGCAAAUAUUCUUAUGAAGAACGGGAUUCAUAUUCCUUCCUCCAUCCUUUUCCCCCAUGUGGACUUUUCAGCCGUCAUGAUUUGCGGAAUUUAAUUUUCAAUAGAAAUCCUCCAAAAGCAAAUGUUUGACGAAUUCAAAAUAUUGAUUUUCUUGUUUGUAUAGCGAUAAAUCUGAUUCAAUGCCAAAUUUCCGAAUAUCGGCAGCCGCAAGCCACGUUUACCAUGUUGAUUCAGGUGCCUUUCAUUAUCAAUUAAUUAAUCACACGAUAGAUCAUAGACCUGCCUUGUGAUGUGCACGUAUUACUAGUGAUUUCAUUUUGGUACACAUGGAUAUUAUAAAUGGAUUGGGAUGAGAAAGAUUUUAUUUUAUAUUAGGUUGGAUUAAAAUAGGUGGAAAUCUUGGAUUUUAAAUCAGUGCUUACGUAGCAGACUUGUGUUUACGGAUAUGGACAGCGAAAUAGAAAUGAAACGUGAGUUGUCUUAAGAAGCAGUUGUAAACAGCUGAUCAAAGCAAAACUGUUUUUAAGUUAUAAAAUUAACAAUAAUGGAGAGCGUAAUUGGAUAUGUUUACUCAUUUCUGGUUCUGGAUAGGGCUGGCUUCCUUUAAGUCGAGUCCACGUCUUGAAAUAUUUUAAAUGAAUAUUCUCUUCCGUAUUUGUGUUCACACUGCAAUUGUGGACAGUUUGUAUUCUCAAUAUAAAAAUUGAACGUGUUCUAUGCAAAAUUUAAGCAACAUCAUGAUUUAUGCUAGUGGCAGUGGAAUCAACCACACAGAUUUUCUUAUUAUAAUGUCAAUAUAAGUAUGCUUUCUGUGUUGUUGGGUAGGUCCAUAUCUUUUUUUUUUCUAAUAAUUUCUUAACAGAUUCACAAUAGGAAGUAGCGUGCCUGGUUUUCCUACUUUUGGAGAAAGUGGCUUUAUUAAAGGAAAAGCCUUCAGUUAUAUAUAUAUAGAUAUAUUCCACUUUCUGUAGUUCUGAGCUGGUCCUAUUAUAAUAGCAUUAAGUUUGUGUUGAGCACACGCCCUUCAGUUAUAUUCCUUAUUGUUUCAAUUCAGUGUGAUAGGUUUUCUGAUUUAAUCUUCCAGUCAUGCAGUUCAGCUCUUCCCAUAAACGGGACAAACAAGAUUGUUACUACCUUCUUCCAGAUUCAGAAUCUCCUGCUGCUAAAGAAGGUCAAAGGAGACAUGAGGAGCUAUGGCACAAGCAGGCAUCUGAAGUUGCAUCUCAAAAGCACACGGACCUGCCAGGCGUAUCUCUUCAAAGAAAGAAGCCUCGUUUCAAUAAAUAUGCGCUCACUGGUGCCAUCUUGGCCUCCACAAACUCUAUUCUAUUGGGCUACGGUGAGUUCUGUUCUGUUUCUGUAGCAUUAAUUUUAUAACAUUGAACAUUUCUGACAUUAAUUCUCCUCAGAUCUUUGUUAACAAAAACUGAAGCUCAUCACGCUGUAAAUUUAUUGUGCAGACAUUGGGGUAAUGAGUGGUGCGAUACUUUACAUCCGGGACAACCUUAAUAUAACAUCAAUCCAAGUUGAGGUCUUGGUUGGUUCUCUAAAUGUAUGUUCAUUAAUUGGAUCACUCGCUGCGGGUAAGACGUCUGAUUGUAUUGGCAGGCGGUACACAAUUGUCCUAGCAGCAGCCACAUUUCUAUUAGGUGCACUGCUAAUGGGGCUUGCACCAUCCUUUCUUUUCCUCAUGGCUGGAAGGGUAGUGUCAGGCAUUGGAGUUGGUUACUCUCUCAUGAUUGCCCCGGUCUAUACCACAGAGAUCUCUCCUGCGAUGACCCGAGGCUUCCUCUCCUCGCUCCCUGAAGUUUUCAUCAAUUUUGGAAUUUUACUGGGUUACAUAUCCAAUUAUGCUUUAUCAGGUCUUCCUGAACACAUAAACUGGAGGCUUAUGCUUGGACUAGCAGCAUUGCCAGCAAUAGCUGUUGCAUUCGGUGUCAUAGCAAUGCCUGAAUCCCCUCGUUGGCUGGUAAUGAAAGGCCGGUUUGCUGACGCAAAACAGGCUCUGAUCAAAACAUCAGACAGCGUCGAGGAAGCCGAAUUCAGACUUAAUGAAAUGACCAGAACUAUUGCAGAUUUAGGCCAUGCAGCUUCUUCAAACAAUUGGCAGGGUCAAGGUGUUUGGAAAGAGCUACUAUUAAGACCAUCUCGACCCCUUCGCCGAAUCCUCAUUGCAGCAAUUGGUGUUAACUUCUUCAUGCAAGCUUCAGGCAAUGAUGCUGUUGUUUAUUACAGCCCUGAAGUGUUCAAGGAUGCGGGAAUCAACAGCAAGAAACAACUUGUGGGGGUGACAGUGAUCAUGGGAAUUGCCAAAACGUCCUUUGUGUUGAUAUCAGCUCUUUACUUGGAUCACUUUGGGAGGAGGCCUUUGCUGAUGUUGGGCUCUACAGGAAUGGCUGUUUCACUAGCUGUGCUAGGCCUGGGCUCCAAGUAUCUGGAUCAGUCUGAUAUCAAGCCGGCAUGGGCCAUUGCCUUGUGUGUGAUAGCUGUAUGUGCUGCCGUCUCGUUCUUUUCAAUUGGGCUUGGGCCCAUUACAUGGGUCUACUCAUCAGAGAUAUUUCCAACAAAGUUUAGAGCUCAGGGUUCAAGCUUGGCAAUAUCAGUUAACAGGUUGGUGAGUGGGAUUGUCGCCAUGAGUUUUCUAAGCAUUUCUAGGGCAGUAACAUUUGGAGGAAUGUUCUUUAUACUAUCUGGAAUCACGGCAGUGGGCACGGUUUUCUUUUAUUUCUUUUUACCUGAAACGAAAGGCAAGAGUCUAGAAGAUAUUGGGCUUCUCUUCGAGGACAAAGCCCAUGAUAAUCAUACUCUUGAUAGACCCAUUACACUAAUUUAGAACAUCAUCAAUUCCUGUAAUAUAUAGGUUUCAGAUACAAUUGAGUACUGGUUUUCAUAACAUACAGUUUCAAUGACACUUUCUUUUUUCUUUCUGACUCACAAUAUUAAAAAUUUGAAUAAAAAUAUAUAAGUACUUAAGUGUGAUAUACAAUUUUUAAAAGAUCACCAUAGAUGUCUGGGUCCAAAUAUUUUUGCUCCCAUUUUAGGAUAUCAGUAAUUAUCCAUAAAACUAAUAUUCCUUUUAUAGGCAUAGCAUGUGUGUUUCCAUAUUUGGCUGAACUGAACCAUCUUGUUUUGGAUAAUAUUAAUGCAAACUUUAAUCUCAAGAUAAUAGUGAAGUGUAAAUACCCAUAAACUGAUCAAAAGAAACGCAUCCUGUUUGGGCCUUGGACAAUCGAGAGCAAAGACCACAGUUACUAUAAGAACCUCCUCUCUUGCAAUAACAUGAGAGUUUUUAAGUUUACGAGGAAACAGAAGAUUGGAUAAAAUUGUAAAGGCCACACAUCAUAACAGCGAAAGAGUAUCUUAUCUGCAAACUGAGAAACGUGUUGUGCUUUUCCUCGUAUAACGCCAGGCAGUUUGGUCAUCAUUUUGUGGUUGGGUCGGUUGGAUUUUUUUUUUUUUAAAAAAAAUUCAGACCCAAUAACAAGUAUCAAAACCGACUCCGUUAUUCACUCCUGAAAACCCAGAUCCAUUCGGCUAGAUAUCAGCUUCUCUGCCGAAUUGGUUGUAGUGGGAGAGCUGAAAAUGGAGACCGCUGAAGCAGGAGGACCCGAUGAUCAUCAAAAUGUAGAAGCGGGUACGGGUCGUCAAAAGAAAGGGCUCAACAAGUAUGCCUUCAUCUGUGCUCUUUUGGCCUCGAUUAACUCAAUUCUAUUGGGUUACGGUGAGUCUUCAUUCAAUUCCCUUUUUCCUAAUUGCUUUUAAUUUCUACUAAAAAAUGUUAAGAUAUAAAUAUUUGGCAUGCAAUUGUAAUCGGACGAUGGUGUGGUGACGACGUGACUGCCGGUGACGCUGUAGACAUUGGAGUGAUGAGUGGUGCAGUUCUUUACAUCAAAGAAGAUCUUGAGAUAACGGAAGUCCAAGUAGAGGUGCUGGUGGGGAUUUUGAAUGUGUUUUCACUAAUAGGGUCACUGGCCUCGGGGAAAACCUCAGAUUACAUAGGCAGGCGAUACACAAUUGUGGUAGCAGCCGCAACAUUUCUAGUAGGUGCCCUUGCAAUGGGACUGGCACCAAACUACCCAUUUCUCAUCGUAGGCCGCAUGAUUGCUGGUAUUGGCGUUGGCUACUCCCUCAUGAUCUCCCCAGUGUACACAGCCGAGAUCUCACCCACAAUGAAACGUGGCUUCCUUACCUCGCUCCCCGAAGUCUUCAUCGUUCUCGGUAUCCUGUCGGGUUAUGUUUUUAACUACGCAUUAUCUGGUCUCCCUGGAAACAUCAACUGGAGAAUUAUGUUAGGCCUGGCCGCUGUGCCCGCAGCUGUUAUUGGUGUGGGUGUUUUGAUCAUGCCUGAAUCCCCUCGUUGGCUUGUCAUGAAGAGUAGAUACGACGAGGCAAAGAGGGUUCUGCUCAAAGUUUCUGAUACAGAGCAGGAAGCUAAAGAAAGACUCGAUGAUAUGAUCAAGGCAGCAAAGGAGUCUUCCCCUUCAGGACCUGAUGAUGAUCAAGGACCACCAAAAGGUAAUUUCACGGGAGAGGGGGUGUGGAAAGAUCUUAUAUUGAAACCGACUCCAGCUGUUCGUCGGAUGCUCAUUGCAGCCGUUGGUAUUAACUUCUUCAUGCAAGCUUCAGGAAAUGAUGCUGUGAUUUACUACACACCAGCAGUGUUUAAAGGUGCUGGAAUUCACCGCAAGCCGGUGCUGUUUGGUAUCAACGUAGUUAUGGGACUAGCCAAAACGUUUUUUGUGGUUCUAUCGGCACUGCACUUGGACAAAUUUGGGAGACGCCCGCUGUUGUUGCUAGGCUCAAGUGGGAUGGUUGGGUCGUUGCUUUUAUUGGGCAUUGGAUCAAAGAUUCUUGAAGGCAGCACUCCAACUGUGGUGGUUGUGCUGUGUAUAAUUGCAGUGUGUGCUUUUGUGUCAUUCUUUUCAAUUGGGCUUGGACCCAUCACAUGGGUCUAUUCUUCAGAGAUAUUCCCACUGAGAUUACGAGCCCAAGGUUCGGCCCUGGCCAUAUCAGUGAACAGGCUGGUGAGUGGAGUGAUUUCAAUGACAUUUCUGAGCAUUUCCCACAGGCUCUCAUUUGGGGGAACUUUUUUCCUGCUUGCCGGAAUCACAACAGUGGGGACUAUUUUCUUUUAUGUCUUUUUGCCGGAGACAAAAGGAAAGACUUUAGAGGAAAUGCAAGCUCUAUUUGGGGGUGAUAAUGAUGAUACAAGCAGGGAUGAGAAUGAGAAGCAACAAACGGAAACGAGUGAAAAAUAAAUGCGUCUACUGAUUGGCAAAGUGAGAGAUCUUUCAUUUGAUUAAGUACAUCUAUCCGUUCAUGUGGCAUGUGCAUACCAUGAUUACUGUCCCUGAGAAUUAAUUUUGUGUCAUAUUUUCUUAUGUUGAAAAACAAAAAUGUUUAAUUUGUCUUCAUGUACAAAAGGGAAGAAUAUGCAAAUAGAAAAAAGGAAGAGGAAAAUGGUUGACGACUCGAAGACAAAAGUUCUUGGGAACAGGUGCUGAUCAUGCACUGCAAUAUUGACUUUGGUGGGGAUAUACAUGUAAUAGAGAUAGUAAUGGACUGACUCAUUUUUUCAUCGUUUAGUGCUUUAAUUUUUGCGCAGCCUUUUGUUUCUUGAAUAGUUCUCAGCCAUGUACCAUGUACAUGAACUUUCAUAAUCAAAAUAGGGCCCAUGAGGUUUGAUUUUGAAAUUCCAAUGCAACCAAGCCGAACCUCAUAACUAUCUCGUUCUUUCAAUUUCUUUCUUAUCUUACAAGCUUGGCUCAAACUUUGGUCGAAUACUCUUGUCUUAUAGUCACCAAGCAUAUUGAAAGGGCUUAAGUUAAAUUAGGGCUUAUUUUUAUUAAUUGAAUAAAAAAAGAAUAAUUUUAAUUUGUAAUUCGAGAGGUAGAUCAAAUCUCUCUCAAAAUUCUUAACUACUCCUAAUAUUUGACAAAAUUCAGCAUAAACCCUAAAUGCCUUCUUAUUCUCUUAUUUAUACCUCAACCUUAAUUAGUGAAUGUCAUAUCAUUUGGGAUAACAUUUUCAAGUAAAAAUUUAGGAUAUAUAGCACUAUUCUUUACUAUUCACUGAAAAUUUAGUAAAAAUUAUUAAUCACAUAAUGAACGAUAUAUCACAUGUCACAUAAUUUAGAAUAAUAUACUACCAAAAAGAAAAAAAUAAUAAAAAAUAGAUGUAGUAAAAAAAUUUACGCCGUUGUAAGUAGUAUCUCAUUGCAAAGCACUGAUGAGUGUGGUGGAAAGUGGAAACUGGAAAAUUCUCAUAAUUUUGGAGCCAAGCCAACGCAAAAGACAAUGACACAUGAAAAAUAACAAAAAGUAUAAAAAUACACUUCAAAGAGCGAAAGUCAUAACCCACGUGGCAAACACAACCCUCAUCAAAUCGAUCACAAAAAAGCCAGAUUGGAAAAUGAUAACAAAAUAGGAUUGAAAUUUUCAGUGUUGCUGUGUAAUCAUGACCAAAGAAUCAACGCACGAAGGGAGAGUGGGUCAGGAAAUCUAUGUCAAGAAGAUAGUUUCUGCUUGUCAUUGAGCUAAAUUCAGACUUGAAAAGCUGAAUCCAUCUACCCAGAACUGUCUGUUUGCUAUUGGUGGGGGCAUUUCAAGUAGUAAAUUAGAAAGAGCUGCAAACUCUAUCUGUUUUUGUGUUGUUGGAAUCUUCUUCAAUCUUUAGAUGCUCAUGGGGAAGUGAGAGCUUGAGGCCUCGACGUUGCGUUGCUGAGGGCUCAUUAUUUUGGGAAUAGAAAUGAAUGCUCUCUAAGUUUCAACUUAUUUGGGAAGCCAAGGCCUUAGACCUCUUCACUUGUCUUUUUACAAGUGUACAUGUUCGAGCCAUACAAAAGCAAUUAGACAAUUGUUUAUAUAAAAUCUAUGUAGGCUAAAACAUGGAAAGGUCACAAUUAAAAAUUUUGACACUAUAAGACAUGGAAAAAGUGACAAUAUUGCCUUUGUCCUCCACUCUGAAUGUCUCUCAUUUCAAAAUUCUCUCUUCCCAUCACAAGAAAUUAAAAUUUUCUUGUUCACUCUCAUACCACACAGACUCAUGUACAAAUUAUAUGAUGCUAAACCAUUUUUUCCCAAGUUUCAUAUUUUAUUUCCCAACUCACUGCAUUUAAUAAUUUAGGAUAAAGAUUUUUUUUUUUUAGAGUGCGAUAUUUGUAUUACAAUCACAAAUCUAUUAUUAAUAUUUACAACAAGAAAUCGAUAAGACUAUCCUAGAUGAAAUAUAUUAUGGCACAAUCUAAAUUUUUACCCUCACUUAAUAUUAGUUAGAUAUAUGUUUCAUCCUUGUUAGUGGAAGAGAUAUCUACUCCUGCCUAAUUAAAUUAAUAGAAAAUUAGAUGUUGCCAUCGGGUUACAAUUCCUUUAACUUUUUGUACAAUGUUUGACUUUGGAAGAUGUAACCAUGGGACUGUAUAACCAUAAAUAAUAUGUAAUUUGGAGAAAGAAUCUUGAAAUGUUGGAAUUGAAGGGAUCAUUGAAACAACUAAAAGAUUUUUCAGUUUAAACUCCUAAGUUGCAUUGUACUGUGAAAGACAGCUAAUAAAUUCUUAAAUUUCUGGUUAAUUCUUAUGGAAGGAGUAUUUGUUAUACUUAUGUUUUCAAAAUAAACAAAUUAAUGAUGAUCAAAUUGUAUAUAUUAACCAUUAUCUUUAAUGGUAUGGCGGCUGUGUAUGCUGAUAAAUAUGAAUCAUUAGUUAAUAUCAUAAUUUUUUUCUUUUUACCAGUUUUAGGAGUUGAAAACGUUUACUUGUAGACCAUUUGUUAAUGACCAAAAACCACAAUAUAGAUGAUAAAUGCUGCUAUAAUUUAGUACCAGAGAAAAUCGAUUUGCUCAUGUCAACUAAUUUAAAGACCUACAUUGUUGGAGUGCACCCUUAAUUAUAGAAUCUUAGCCGUAGGUAAUACAUGCUUGAAGCAGAAGGAGCAGCUGCUUAACAAUACAUACAGAUACUGGCCAACGACUCUCAUUCAUUCCACGCUUCAUGCAUAAUUAAGUAAUUAUAAAUCAGUCUUUUUCAGUUAGGUGGUGCCAAGCUGGCAAAAGCUAAGUGAACCCACAGAGUUCCAUACUCACUAUAAGAGAUGAGUCAAGUCUUAAGUUAGCCACCCAAAUCUUAAUUAAUCAAAAUUGCUAAAUAAAUUAACGGAAGAUGAUUAUACGCGUUUAUUUAUAGGGAAAAUAAAAAUAAAAAUUCCCUGAAAAUGCUGUAUACGAUAAAAGCUUAAUAUAUAUAUAUAAGAGACGCUGUAGCAUGCACGGAUCAUAGAGAUUGGUCGCAUGGCUUGAUCGUCUAUAGUUUGUUUCCAUACAAAUUUGGUUCAAGCUUCCAAUGACACCUCUUUCUUGAAGAAGAAAGAAAGAAAGAAAGAAAAUAGAUCUUACUGCAAUUGGGUGUAAUUGUAAACGCGGCUCAUGACAUGAUAGUCUAGCUAUCUCAUUUUUCAUUUUCAACCCUCUCAAUUGGCUGUAAGCCUCCAAUAUGAAUUUUCAUUUUUUCUCUUGGCUGCUCCUUGUUGGCCCACGCGUCACUGAAUUAUUUGUCAAAUUGAAACCCAAAUCCCGCCACCCAAAACAGUUACCAUAUAUACGACAUUAUUGGACUGUAAUAUUUACUCCCAAUAUACAGUGCGCAAUGUGCAGUAUUUAACUCUAAGGUGGAUCGUAUAGUCAUUAGCAUACCAUAUUGAGUAAAUAAUGUUUUAUAUGUUGUUUAUUAUCACGUGAUAAAUCUAAAAUGCAUGCAUGCUACAGUCUCUAUAUAGGCCCUCUUUUUUGGGUUUAUAUGCAUACGUUGCUGUCGCUGAAUUCCUUGUUUACAAUUUCAAAUUCAAAAGCUUCUGUGAAGAUCCAUACAAAUCACUCAUUAUUUAUUUAAUUGGUCCCCCUACCCCUAUGUAUGUACAUAUUUUCUGUAAAGCACGUAUAUAGCUACAUCACAUUAGUAGGAUUCCGUUUCCAACUUACCAAACGAAGCAUAAGCAGAGCCUUCACUAUUUUUUGAAUCUUGAAUUUAAUUUAUUUGCCCUUUUUUUUUUGAUUACAUGAGACUAUUGCUCAGAUUAUAACUCAUAUUACAUGAGACUAUAACUGAUAUUUACAAAUCAGACUAUUACUGGGACCAACUGACAUCAAUGCUAAUGGAGCUCUGCCCAGAUUUUAACCCUCACAAAUUUAUUUACCCAUUUGAGAACUCGCUUACAGUUUAGGAAAAAAAAAAAAAUAUAUAUAUAUAUAUAUAACUUGACUCUUAUUUUUCAUUUGACAUGUAAAAUACUAAGAGAGACAAAUUAUUAUAUCUUUUUUUAAAGAAUUAUAUUACCAUUUAUUGAUUUUAAAAUUAGGAAGCUAUAAGAGUCCGAAAUUCAUAUAUAAACAAAGACUCGUAGCCGCAGAAACUCGUGUACUCCUAGGGUGGCGCCGUAUGUGAAUUUUGUGUACUCGUAGGGCGGCCCGUAUUUUAAUUUUACACUUGGCUCACUUAAUUUUUACAUAAUUUUGUUAUACUGUACUAUAUUUUAUAAUUUAUACAUUGUAGCACUAUUGUUGCAACUUAAUUUACAAAUUUUAUGUUAUAGUUUAAAAUUUGUAGUUUUUCUAAUAUGACCCGGCCAAACUAUAAUCCUCGUUCAACAAUAGUUUAAACACUUUCCCCUAUCAAAAAGUUAAGAAAAAAAAAUUGAUAAGAUCAACCCUCAACUUGUGAGUUUUAUACAUUCAAAAUGCUCAAUUCUAAGAGCAUUAUCAAAAUACUUUUCAACAUUAAAAACUUUAAAAGACAAUUUAAUUAGGAUUCUUUAAAUAAGAUAUACUUCGCUCUCUUCUAUUAAUAUUUUAUUAUUUUUAUGGAAAGAGAAAACAAUAUAAUUACUAUUUAUUUUUCUUUUCAAAAAAAAUAAUAGCACUUUAACAGUUUUUUUUACCCCAUUAAAUGUUAUUAAACUCAUACACAUCUCAUUACAAAUUUUUUCUUCAGAGUGUUUUAUGUUAUCAAGUAAUUUUAUAAUUAAUAUUGUGUGUUUAAUUAUUAAUUUCUAGCUAUUUUUUAUUUAGCAAUCAUUGAAUUAAAAAUGGACAAACAUUACGGAAAUAACAUAUUAAGAACACAUAAACAUAGUUAUUAAAAGAUAAACAUAUUUCAAACAUAAUAACAACUACAACAACAUUUAAAAUCAAUACAAGAUUACUUAGAAACAAAGAUUUGAUUAAAAUAGUUGGAGUGAUAAAAUGGAAGGUUAUUAAAUUGUUGACAAAAAAUAAAGAGUAGUUAAAUUUGGUGAAGGAAAUAUUUGAUUAAAAUAAUUGGAGAAACAAAAUGGAGGGUAAUUAAAUUUGUUAAGAAAAAUUGAGGGUUGUUAAAUUUGGUGAAGGAAAAUAUUUGAUUAAAAUAAUUAGUGUGAUAAAAUUGAGGGCAAUUUAAUUUGUUGAGAAAAUAUGGAGGGUAGUUAAAUUUAGUGAGAAGAAAGAUUCGAUUAAAAUAAUAUUGAAUUGUUAUAAUUUAAGGAGUCUUUUGGACAAGAGUUUUAUUUUUUUUAUUCUUUUAUUUGAUACAUAAAGAAGCAAAUCAAAAUUUAGAGAGUAAAAUUGGAAAACCCUUUUGGUAAUACUCCAACUUACAUAAUUUAUUUAUUUUUUUUUUUUGGUCUUAUCCACGAGGUAUCCUGGGGAGGGCCCCAACUGUGGGAGGCACCUUUAAGCCCGUACCACAACCCAGACUAGAAGUCCCCGCUCGAACCGGGAGACACAGGUUCUCCCAACAAAUACUACGACUUCCCUGCGACUCGAACCAGUCAAGCCACUUAAGGGGACUCCAUUGCCAGUGGAGCCAACACUUUGUUGGUUCAACUUACAUAAUUUAUAAUUUAUAGGUUGAUCGAAAAGUAUUAUCUCAAGAUCUUCUAAUUACCUAAUGACCAACAGUUAAGUCAUAAAAAAAAAUGAUUUUGAAUUGAUAUAAGUCGGAGAUAAUGGACACUCAAAAGGCAACUCGGGUUUGACCAGCAAUUUCAAAUACAAGACUUCAUAUGUUAGCCGAACAUAAUCAGAUUCAAUCUCUUCAACAAAUAAAGAUUUAUCCUCGAUAAAGACAAAGGAGAGGACAGAAAAAACAGCAAGAAGUCUCAUACAGACAUUCAUUAAAUUAUCAUUUAAAAAACUUCCACUUUCGGUUUCUCACGAACUAUUAAUUCGAUCCUCUCCAUAAACGCACUCACCCCCCCGCCAUUCAAAAUUCUCUUUCAUUUUUCUCUCUCCCUCUCUCUCGCAUAUUCUCUGGAAAUGGAAAACCGAUUGAAGCUCCGAAUCUCCCGCCUGUUUCGCUCCUCAUUCGGGUCGUGCCGGUCCCGAAACAUAUCGGAAUCUGAUGUCGUCGUCAAGCUAACCCACAAAAACAGUAACUCCCACAUGAAGAUGAUGAUGAUGACAGAGCCACUUUUAUCUCCUAAACCUCGCCCUUUCCCCUCCAUUUGCCGUCCCAAAUGCCCGGAAAUAACGACAACGCAUCCACAGAUGAUGAUCUUUAACAACACUUGCUGCAUCGACACUGCCCCGAGAAGUAAAGUUUCUGAGCAAUAUUCCCCUUUUGCUUUAACCACCACUACUAGUAAUAGUAGUGAUAACCAUAACGGACACGUUAUGUGUCCUCCUGCCUCACCUACCUCUCCGUUCAACGAUAAUACCCUCUUCUACUAUGGGUGUAAUAAAGAGAAAAAGAAACAUCAUUCACAUUCAGAGAAAAACAGGAAAAAGAAAAGGACCCAUUCGAGAAAAACCAACAGAAGAUCAGACAGUGCCUGCAUUUUCAGUUCUUCUUCUCAAGAGAGUUUCAGAGGCUGGUCGUGGUUUAGCAGUGACGAAGACGACAAUGAGAAAGAAGAUGAGACCGAGACUCUUUUCUCUUCUAAAACUCUCUCGUCCGACUCAUCGGGCUCCUCUCUCCACCGGCGUCACCGUUCCCUCCGGAAAAAGGACGGAACUCGCCGCCGGAGAGCUGCCGCAAGAAAGCUUGGUCCUGAUGUUCUGCCUUUACCGGGUGGGAAGGUGAAAGACAGCUUCGCUGUGGUGAAGAGUUCGAGUGAUCCUUACAAUGAUUUUAGGACAUCAAUGGUGGAGAUGAUUGUUGAGAAGCAGAUAUUCGCAGCUAAGGAUCUUGAGCAGCUCUUGCAGUGUUUCUUGUCUCUGAACUCUCAUCAUCACCAUAGGAUUAUUCUUGAGGUUUUUACUGAAAUUUGGGAAGCUUUGUUCUCUGACUGGUCUUAAUUAAUUGAUGUUUUUGACCUGUGUUGAAGAAAACUUUUCUUGUUUUCUCUUCUAUGAAAAUUAUGUACUGCUUGUAACAUAACUUCAAUUAUUAUUAAUGGAUCAGUACUAUCUUUUGUUGUAUGUCAUUUUAUUUUAUGUUCGGAUGAAUUAAUAUUAUUACUUUUUUUAUAAUUUUAGACCAGUCACUAGUCAGUAGCCAUGACUUUUAUCUAGCUAGCCACUGUUAUUUUUUAUGUAAUCUUUCGGAUUCUACUUUCUCUCUUCGUUGUAUUUUCGUUCGUCUUGCUUUGAGGGGCCUGCGUUUGGAAAAGAAAGAUCAGCAGUGGGAAUAGUUUUGUUGCUUUUGAAAUAUUGCGCAGAGAUUAAUUUGGCCUCCAGGCUUGUCAACAAUUUUGAAACUCGAAAAGAUGUGGGAAAUGGAAUUGCACUGGCUUUUUGUUUGAUUAGAAAAAUAGAAAGCAAAUGUCAUACCAUAAAGUUGCCCUCAUUUUCUUUAUGGGUGGACUUUUGAACUUUUUUUUUAUUGUACAAUAUUCUAAUAAAAUGUUAGAAUAAAUAAGAAUACAAAUAUCAAUGACUUUUUCACUCAGUUAUGAGAGUAUAUAUAUAUAUACACAUACACACACACUAGAAUCUAAGUUUUGGAUUAUCGUAGUCUAGACACAGUGAGAUUAUCAGAAAAUCAAUCAAAAUUAAUAAAAUAUGAUUAUUUAAUGGUGCUCAAACUAUUAUGAAGAUGAUAUUUGGAAUAUUGGUCAUUGCUCUCAAUUUUUUUUUUUUUAUAGGAAUCAUUGAAUUGAUUGUGUAGUACUUAAGUCCUUUUUACCAAUGGGCCUUUGGUCCAGUGGGAGAGCCCUUACACUUAGAAUAAUGAGUGCAAGGGUUUGAGCCUCCAUAAAAGCAUUUAUGAGGCUUAUUUACAAUCCUUCCUCAAUUAUCACAUAAUUGAGUGGAGCCAGUCUAUUCCUCACGAAAUGUGAGUAGAGUGGACAGCCCUCGAAUAUUUGAGAGGGUUUGAAGAAUUUGGGCAGCGCUUCAGAGGAGUACAUGCCACGAUGAAGGUCCCAAUUGUAGAAUCUAUGUGUAAAUAUUAAUUGUAAUACCUACAAUCUUGUAUAAACAGUAUUCAAAAAAAAAAAAAAAGUCAUUUUUGGUCAAACCAACUAUGACAAUAUGUGACCUAAAAAAAUCCAAGUGAGAUCGCUACAUUUUAUAUCUAUUGCUUAAGAUCAAACCUACACCAUCAAACAAUUUAAAAAAAAAAAUGAAAGAUUUAAAACGAUUCUCUUGUAUUAUUGUCCAUUGAUAUAACAUGUAUCCCAAUGGCCAAUACCAUCAACAAAUACUAUUUCUUACCCUCAAAUUGUGAUGUUUGAACUGCUAAAAGAUGCUUGAAGAAGUGAACCCUUAAUUUAUUAAGUCCACUAGUUUCAUAAUUUGAAAUCAACUUUAUUAUCAAAUAAGGGCCAUCUAGAAAACCAAAAAAAAGUUAAAUAAUAGCAUCAGUUGAAUGAUAAAGCAAGUAUUGAUUGGCAAGAUGCCUAGAGACAAAUAAAUGAAAUCGUUAAAUUAAAAAAAAAAAGAUUGUUGUUUCAUAAAAGAGACAAGACAUUAAAUAUCUGAUUCAAGCGUUUGGUACAUCUAUUUUUUGUUGUUUUAUUAGCUAAAUCAGUUUCUUUAUUACAGCAUUCUUGUUUCUAUUACAUGAAAAAAAGAAGCCAAGACAAGACCCAACACACCCCACCACCACCCUAACAUCGAACAGAGUUUUUGUUUUGUAACUUAGUGUGUUGUGUCUUUGCUGUAACGCUUUCUAAGAUUUUAAUUUCAAACUUAAGCUGGGAGCAGCUUGUAGCUCAAAUAUAGACUGUGGCCUAUUAUGAUUGGUCGAUAAUUUUGUGCCUGCAAGGCUGCAAUAAAUUAAAGCAUGUGAUCUAAGGCGUAUCUCUAAUUAGAUAGUCAUUAAUUUAGCCAAAAGAGUUUUAAAGUAAAAGGAAACAAAUGGGUUUAUUUUUGCAUAAAAGAUGAGUACGACGUUUUAACACAAGAAAAGCAUUCGAAAUUGAUAGGUUAAAAAUAAAAAAAAUUAAUAGUGAAACGUCUGUUUCAAAAGAUGGGGUGAUGUGGCCAAGAUAAUUGACAAAAGAGAUCAAUGACGUUUACUGUUUAGGGUCUUGACCAGAGAAUGUGAACGAAACUUUAUGUUAAUUGAUCCCUUUGGGAACAAAACUAUUGAGGAGCUGUAGCUUUCUUUGGUGUCUCUUUCGUCUGUAUGAGUAUGAUGCAUAAAGGCUCUUUUUUGUAACCACGAAAUGAGGACAUUGCGCCAAAUCGAUGACCAAUUAAGGACCAAAAUUGGCAAAGAGGUAUUGUGAUGAUAGGAUGAAAUUUAAAGAAUUCCUGAGCAUUGGCAGGGGAGGUUGCGUUGGAUAUUUCAUAUUUGUCUCUUCAUUGGGUUUUAUUCUCAUUAAUGCUCGCAUUUUUUGGGUUCUUGAGCCCCUCGAUUCUCUCUCUUUUCAUCUUUUCGCUUCGGCUUGUCCUGUCAUCUGCUUUUUCAAAAUUAAUAUUUAUACUGAACGACGCAUGCGUGCAUUGCAUUGCAUGAACGCUCACGGUAACAAAUUUAUGGGCCAAACGUUUGGGCCCGGCUUCUCGUAAUAAGUCCAAGACUGGAGCUUUAAGUCUCUAACCCAUCCUGUUUGAAUGUUUGUCCCCAAAAGUGAAAAGAAUACAAAUUGAUAUAUUAAAAUUAACUAUUUUUUUUCAUAAAUUUCAUUUCUUUUUAAAUUGAAUACGAAUUCUAAAAUAAUAAAUUUAUCUUAAUUUUUUUUUGUUACAUAGUUUCUAAAAUCUUGUAAUUUUGUUAAAAAAAUUCAACUUAAAAGUUAAAUAUAAAUAUAAAUUAUGAAAUGGGGUAGGUCUAAAAUUUUUGUUAAAAAAAAUAAUAUACCUAAGUGUUUAAUGGAGCUUUCAUUCAAAUUAAGAAGCCAAUUAUUUUGUUUUAGGUUAAGUAAUUUCAAUUUAAAAAGUUAUGAGGAAUUUUGACUGAUUUUUAAAGGCCUACCCUAGGUCCAACUCUAUUUUAUUUAAAAGCACAUACAUGAUAUUAAAGUUGACUCUAUCUAAUACUUAGUUUCCAUUCCCUAUUCAGUUUCUUAUCCAUUCCCUAUUCAGUUUCUUAUUAUCACCUGUCUUCGCAGCCAAAUGGGAGAACCUGCACACUGAAAAUUGAGAUACACAAGUUUGAGUCUCACCGCUAAUAAAAGUUGGUAUUGAAAUUUUAAUUCUCCUAUAAAUGGGUAGAAGCAGUCAAGAUUAUUUGAAAACUCAUCAAUAAUGAAAUUUUAAUCAAUAUUGUAUACAAGUUCUCUUUCAAUACAUAUGACACAACAAUUCAAAUUAAGCUCAUAUAAAAAGAAAAAUUAUCAAACUCAAAGAAUUAAAGUAGUAAAUUUCUUGGCUUCGCAAUGAUGAGCGGGACAAAGAGAAAAUUAGAUAAAAAUAAAUUACGAAAGUGAUAGAAAAUGAAAUCUUAAACAACGUGGGAAAAUUUAAUAAAAAAUAUUUUAUUUCAUCAGCUAUCACAAUUCUCAAUUGAUCAUGAAUCAACUUAGUUUUUAAGUCACAACAGCUAAUUUUUAUCAUACAUUUUAUUAAUAUAGCUUUUAAAUUACGACUAUUCAAUUUCGACACCGAAAAAGGUUGAAGUUGGAAAUGCAGAUUGUGUAACCCAAAUCAGUCCGCGUGGAACCAAAAACUAUGCUUGUGGCUUGGAUUGGGCAAAAAUUUGGGCUUUUGUUGUGACCAAGCUUCAUAUUGGCCUUUGUCAGUUUGUCUCUCUCUUAACAAUACUGAACAAGGUAAAAUGUUAUAUGUGUAUAAAAUUGACGUUUCUGAGCUGGUGUGGUGGUAAGUAAGAGGAGAAGAAAAAUGAGGAGGAACGUUAAGUGUGUGGAUGUGGCUAAGGCUAACCUUAAGCAGCACGAGGUGGAAAUUUUUUAAUUUUAAAGGAUAAAGAGGCGUGAAAGUGCCGGCUAGGUCACACUCUGUUGUCUCUGAUUAGGACUAGUUCUGACCCUAGGACGAGUGGUCAAUUUUCUCUGGUCGAAUCUGUCUUUUAUGCACUACUUAUUACCAACUACUUUGUUUGUCUCUGCUAAAAUACCGUAGCCAUUCUCGUGUCAUCUUCAAAAAUCAAAACCCUAAUCAUGCCCCCAAUCCAUUUUGCUCUCUUAUCAACUUACAGAAUUCUCCUUGUGCCGCCAGGCCGACAAUAUACAUACUGUAUCAUUAUAUUGCCUUGUGUAUUUCUUCUUUUUGCUUUUCAAAAUUAGUAGUGUACAAAGUAUAAUAUUAAUAUUACAUUUUGAAAGUAAAUUUAAUAGCUAUUAAGAGAAUGCUGUUUCCUAAAUGCGUUGGGUCAACAAUCAAUUCCCUUCCAUGCCCAUAGUUGAGUCGUAUCUUUUCCUACACCAGCUUGUGUUGCAAAUCCAUUUUUGUUUACUGUGUAGAAACUAGCUAGCAAGUGAUCAUAGUGGUUUUAAGAAAUGAUUUGUAAAGUGGACGGAAUUGUUUGAAUUACUUAAAAACCUAUACAUUCCCUAUUCCGCACGUUGAGGCUCAUUGGUAUGAGAAUUUCAAUAAGGUCUUUAACCUAAUAAUAACAAUUAAGCUCAUUAAUUUUUGCAUCAAUAGUGGGAGUUCGCAUCCCGUGAUUCACGGCGAUAUACAUAACAAUUAUGAAUUAUGUGGAUGGUCUAAGCUGGUUAUCACUCAUUCAAAAGGGAAUCAAAGCUGGUUUGGUAUACAUAUUAUAUAUGGUGGGGUCAAUUGCCCUAGCUUCAAUACUUUAACAUGGGUUUCACUUUCAAACUUCAAAGAAAGAAGUUAAUUACUAGCUAGGUGACCAUUAGUACAUAUGUAGAGAUGUACGUACGUAUAAUAAUAUAUGGGCAACAAAUAAAGCAAAUCAAUCACAAUAUUUGAGAGAAGCAAUUCAACAACCUCACCCGCUCCUUUCUUUCUCCUAAAGAGGCUACAUACCAACUCCAUCGACAAAAGUAAAAGUAACGUACACUCUAUCUAUUUAUUUUAUCUAGUUAAUAACAACAACAACAACCAAUACAACAUCAUCAAAAGCUUUAACUUAUCUAGUUAAUCUUCCAUAUCUUCGAAUCUUCAUUAGCGUAAUAAAGAGAGAGGAAGUGGGGACUCUUUUAGCAAACAAGAAGAAAACUCAAGGACAAGAAAGGAGCGUGUGAAGACAAACAAUAAACAUAAAGUGGAACCGAACGUUGCCAAAGUGAUCAUCAUCAGAAUUCAGAAAAGAGAGAAAGGAGCUUUGAGCUUUCUUUCCUUAUGACUACUCUGCUAGUCAUGUUAAAUAGCCCUUUCAAAGUGGCUCAAUCUUAAUUGACAUCAUCACAAUAUAGAAGAGCCAAGGCACAAAGAUAUCACCAAUGCUGCUAAGAAACUCCAUUUCUAGCACCAAAAGGUUCUUUCAAAAAACCCUACACAGCUUUAAAUCUCUCUUUUCUGGUAGUGAUUACCAAAGAUUGCCCAAAAGUACACCUCCCCAUAUGAAUAUACAAACAACUUACGGCAAAGACUUUGACACGUUCUACGCCGAUCACUUCACCAACCAAUGGGAGCCAUCAUCAGCUAAUAAUAAUAAAGAGAUCAAGGCAAUCAAGAAGCAGAGACCAAACAAGAAGAAUGUCAUCAAUAAUGUAACGUCGUCAUCAUCAUCAUCGCCAAUGAAACAAGAGAGUGAGGGUUUCAUGAUGAAGGGUAAUAACCGUAAAAACUUGAAAACAAAAACUGUUCAUCAUGCAGAUUCACGUUUCAGUAGUGGUAGGGGUAUGAUAAUGAUGAUGAGAGAGGAAAGGAGCUGUUUGCUUGCUGAAAUGUUAAAGGAGCUGGAGCUGAUGGAUAUGAGCGACGUUGAUCACGUGCUGGACAUUGAAGAGUUUCUUCAUUAUUAUUCUCGCCUCACGUGCCCUGCUUAUGUUGACAUUGUUGACAAGUUCUUCAUCGAAAUAUAUGCUGAAUUUUUUGGUCAUCACUCUGCAGUAAGUACUCCUGCUUGUAUCAGUUCAAGGCCAAAUAAGCUACGAUCAUAACAUAGUUAUGAAGCAAUUCAGAGAGGAGACUUCGUGCCUUCACAACAUUAAUUCCUUCUUGUUAUUUUAUUUUAUUUUUCAAUUUCAUUUUUUGGAUACAUUAUUCUUGAUGCGAAUCUCUUCAUUUAAUUUCAUAACUUCCAAGGGCCAAUGACCAUAAUUGUUUCAUUUUAUGUUAAAAAGAAAAAGAUCUAUCUAUCUAUUACUAUGCUUUCUUAAUUGAUGAAUUUGAUAUUUCGUGACCUUUUUUUUUUUCUUUUUUGUGGCUCAUAGUUGAACUAAUCCAUCAAUUAAAUUUUUUUCCCAUUUUUCUGAGGUUGAAUAUUUUGCAUCAUUUAGAGAUCACUUAAUCUUUUGAUAACACUGGGAAUAAAAAAGGAGGGGAAAAAAAAUGUUCUUUUGUUUGUCAAUUGUAAAGAGUAAUGAUAGAGAGCCCAACCCCUCCUUAACCCCCCAGAAGAUUGAAAUAUCUUAAUGGAUACUCUUAAAAUUUGAAUUAAUGACAAAAAGUCCUGAAAAGAUUGUGCCAGUGGGAUUGAGGUGGAGAUUAUUAGUGGGUUUCACAUCAUUUUCAUUGUAAAAUCUUGUACUAAUUCCCUUUUUCCAGUAAAACAAUGCUAUCGUAUUUUACUUAAAGAUGGCUUAAAUUUCUAUGGAAACGGGCCUUUCGAAUCCCCUCUCCACUAAUUAUGGAAUAGGUACAAGAUUAUUUUCAUACCCAUUUCUUAAUUGAAAUUAUAAGUUUACAAUCCCAUUUCCCCUUUACUGCAUUUUAAUUUAUUUAUCCCCUCUCUUCUCUUCUCUUUCCACUGUGAUCACUACCUUUUUUUCUUCUUUUUUGGGUUAAAGAUUAAAGAACACUUUUCCUGCGGCACCAUGAGAUAAUACACUCCAGUCUUAGAAAGAUGAAGCCGUAUCCCCGUUUCAGACUUUGUGAAAAUGGACCAUUAUUUCGACACAAUCCAGCCCAUUAUCGUUGGAAUUGGUUUAGGCUGGCCCGUUACGUCAAUUUAUGAUAGACAUGGAGAGAAUAUAGUAGGCCUUUUUUUUUUUGUUUUUUUUGGGCAAAAGUGUGAUUAAAAUGGCCUUUUUUUUUUUUGUUUUUUUUGGGCAAAAGUGUGAUUAAAAUACUUAAAUCACUAUGUAAAAUACUAGCAUACAGAUUUUUUUUAAAAAAAAAAGAAUUUCAUUAACCUAAUAUAAAUAAGAUUCUUAAUAUUAAUUCUCUAACUUCCGUUGCAAGAGGCAAAAAUUAAUUGAACUAUCUGUAGUGAUCUUACUCUUUUAGUUACCACACACGAUAUCUCAUCUCAUCCCAACUUUGCAAUUACUCAUUGGUUGUCUAAAUAUGCCCACUUCAUUUUCGUUAUCUUAUCCUUAAGCUGCUCAUAAGAGUGACAAAGGCAUUGAAGAAAUAAUGAAAUACUGUUACAAAGAUCUAUUCUUCUAUUUCAGAUUUAAAAAAAAAAAAGCAUCUAGAACAUUUUUACUCAAAAUAUUGACUUGUCCGCGUGAGAUAACUCUUGAAGAGUUGGUGAAUUUUUUUUCAAAACAAACACUCAGAGCCUGCACUAGAGAAUUAGAGAUGUAUUUUUUAGUUUUUUUUUCAUAUUUAAAUGAUCAUUUAAACAAAAUUGUGUGAAGAUUUAUGGUUAUAAAAUAUGUUUCACAUGUUAUUUUUCAUAUCUAUUUUAAAGUGGAUUUUUCCGUAUGAACUUUAUCCUAUUGAUAAUCGGAUUGUUCUGGAUCAUUCGAUUUCAGGCUCUUUUUUUUUUUAUUGAUAUCUACCAUUGGUUUAGUUUAGUAGAUAAAUAAUUAAUUAAUUAAUAAACAAUAGAUAACAUUUAAAAUAGGUUAAUGGAUUCAAAUUGAAUGGAGAGACUUGAAUUAAAGGCGUUUUUGCAACCCAUUAUAACUAUCCUUUUAUUCUUUUAUUUUUUAAAUAACUUUUUAGCCAAUUUGUUGAUUACAAUAUUUUUAAAGAAUUUAUAUUUAUUACUAUUGAUUAAAUUUAAUUGUACGCAUUUGUUAUGUUAUUAAUGCCAAAACAAAAAAGGCUAUCAUAGAAUGACCUUGAAAAACUUAUUGGCAAUAGAAAUUUUAUUACUAUUAGUAAUAAUGGGCUUAAAAUUUUUUUAUAUAAUAUUUAUAUCGUGGCUGUACGACAUUAUCAUUUUUCAUCCAAAUGAUAAAUUCAUGUAGACAUCACGUUAAUUAGAACAUAAAUUUUAGAUUUCAAAUUUGUAAAUGAGUUAGACUAUUGGCACCCCUUAAUUGAUCUUAUAAAACUCCUAUUAUAUUAUAAUUACAUUUAAAGACAUAUAGAAAUAGAAUUAACCUUAUAUUUUUCUCGGGUGUGGAUAUUUCCACCCCACCAUUUUUAUAAACCCACCCCACCUUCAUAAAAUAAUUACAAUAAGUUCACAUUAUUUCAUAGAAUUACAAAUUAAUAAUAAGUUUGAAUAAUUAAUUAAUUAAAUCAUUCUUGUAAAUUUUUUUUCUUACUUUGUCUUUUAACAAUUUUUAACAAUUUAAGGUUGGUUUAAGAUAAGUUUAAUUUAACUAAUUUACCCUUAUAAUAUAAAUAACCAAAUUACCCUAAGAAAUAUAUAUUAUUGUAACUAAUUGUUUAGACAUUUAGUUUUAUGUUUUAUAAUCUAAUAUGCUUUAUAUAAAAUUUAAUAAUUUUCAAUACUUCAAAUGUCCUAAUUACAUCCCGUUAGUUUAGUGGAAUAUUAAUAAUCAUACUAAAAAAGCACUACUUAUACAUCAAUAAAAUAUGUAAAAAAAAAUUGUAUAAAAAUUUAUUAAAGUUAAAGUAAAUUUUUAGAUAUUUUUGGUACUUUUACCUUAUGAGGUUAGGAUAAUUAUAUUAAUUUAUGUUAAAACAACCUUAUUGAUAAAAUAUAAUUAAAAAAAAGUCUCAUAAAAAAAAUUAAUUAAUAUGGAUUUAAUUGGUUAAAAUUUUAAAUUCCUUCCUAAUUUGAAUUUUUUAAAAAUAAUGUGCACUUGUUGUAAUAAUUUUUUUAAAAUUGGGAUGGGUUAAUAAAAUUUAUGGGGUGGAAAUAUCACCACCCAUUUUUCUCUCUUCUUUUUUUCUCUUUCAUAGUUUCACCUAUACAAUUAGUUUACACAAACUUAAAACAAUAUUUUUUUUCAUAUUGAUUAUUUUUAUGUUUGGGAGAUAGAUAUUUUUGGUUUUGUGGAGAAAGAAAGUUGGAGAAGAUUGGUGAUAUCAAAACAGCAUAAUUUUUUAUUAUUUCUUUAGCUUAAAAGAGAUUAUUUUAAAAAAGUGUAAAAAGAGUAUUUUAUAUUAGAAGGAAAAAAAAAAGCAAGGGAGCAACAAUAUAUUUACAAUUUAUGCAGGAGCUUCCUCUAGCCACACUAGGGAUGGCAAUUCAACCCGCACCCGGCUCGGACCCAGAUAAAACCCAGAUUUUUCGGUCCGGGUUCAACCCGUACCAGAUUAAAUAAAAUUCGGAUCCGGAUGUCAUUUUAAAAACCCGCAUGUGUCCGGGUUCGGUUCCGGGUUUAGGUAAACCUGUAUAUCCGGAACCCGGACCCAGUAUAUAUUAAUUUUUAAAAAUUAUUUUUAAUAUAAAUAGGAAAAUAAAAAGCCCCAAAUGGUGCCCUAGCUCAUUAUACUUUCCCAGCCGCACAAACAUUUCCUCUCUCAGUCCCUCUUCAGCUUAUCUUCAUCAAAUCAAAUCAUCGUCGUCAUCACUUGCCCAUCUUCUCGGCUGUUCAUCAUCAUCAUCAGUCAUCAUUUCCUUAUCUUUUCUGCCGCAACCGGUAACCAGUUGUGGUAUGGGUCGAACGCCGCCUUCGCCAAUCGCAAUCGCGGCUAUGUUCAUCAUCAUUAGCCGUUGUCGCGACCAGUAACCAGAUUCAAUACGAUUAGAAGUAACGAGCUUGCCUUCGCCGUUCGUUGCCUCACUGGACGCCAAUCCUUCAAGUUCUUGGAUACCGAAUCGUGAGUUAUUGCUUCCCUCGUUGAAAGUUGUUGUCUUUCAUUUUAUAAGUAUGUGAUUUAUGCUUUGUUAUGAUUUGAUUUUAAUACUUAUGCUUUGAUAUGUGUUGAUUGAUUUCUAUAAUCAAUUAUUAUCAAUGCCAAUGUGCAAGUAUACACAACAAGUAAUAAAGUUAUGAGUAUUCAAUAUCGUCUCCACAGAAAUUGAUGUUACUCCAAACUGCUAAAGCAAUUACAAUAACACAAAUCAACUAAAGAUCGAAACUAACAAUUGUCAAAUAAUUCUAUCGUAACUAAUAAUUAUGAGAGAUGGAAAUAAAACAAUACCGUAAUGAAAUAAACUAAAUUAAAUGUGUCUAAGAUUCAAUUAAGAAUAUAGUAGUUGAAUGAUCAAACUCUUAUAAUGGGGUGACUGUUGUUUACCAAAUUAGCACUAGUUGUUACAAUAAGUGCUGCAGCAAUGGGUAGAAUAAAUCUGCAUCCACAGCUAUCGUAUGUUGGAAAUCUCAUACUUUUAAAUCUACUAAUAAUGACCAGUUGCUCAUAUAUUUAUGGUACGACAUUAUAACCUUUAAUCUCUUCACCCUACAAUGUGAACACAUAUGUCUAGAGUGUCACAAAUCUUAAUUUCAAGUAUUGCCCUUAUGUGAUUCAAAGUAACUUAAUCCAGGAAACUCGACUUAAGAACAAGUAAUACUCUAAUAAUAUCUGUUAAGACAUGCCCUUUUGCUGCUCUAUCUUAAUUGAAACUAUCAAAUGGGUGAUCAACCAAAAAAACAGUUGUAUUCAUAAAAACUACUAGAGUAUAAUGCUACAGCAUUACCUUAACAACAUAAAAGAACAGUCAAGACCCCAUUGGAUUAUUUGUCGUUCAACCAUAGGUAAAUUUAGUUCAUAAUCUGGAUGAUAAAAAUAAACACAAAUAUAUUGAACUCAGAAUACAUCCAAACAAUUCAAGGAAGAAGAGAAAAUAUAAGUUGAGCACGAUGAAAGACAAAUAAUUCUGCACGAUUCUUUUAUUUGUUUCCGACUAGCACUCCUCAAUCUUGAUCUCCUUCUUUUUGCCUUUGUAAUUAUUUUUUAUGAUAAUUCAUUGAUGCCUUUCUAAGUGGUGCACGCCUCCUUUUAUAUUGCAAAUUAGGGUAAAAGACCCAAAGUCCAUGCGCGUACAUGCGUUUAAAUUAGAAAACAUGCAGAUCACGAUUUUAUGGCUGACCCACGCUUUAAGCUUUCUCCCGCAUUGCUUUCUGAUUGCUGCAGCACUAGUUGCCUUGACAUCUACAACAGCACUGCAUUAUUCCCGAUUGUGCUUGUCUUCUUUUAUGGCCAUCUUCUUUUCUCCUCUUGCUCAUCUAAUGUCUCAACAUCCCCUUACGAAUUUAAAACCUACAAUUAUGCACCUGUUUUUAGCACAAAUUACUUGAUUUAAACGAAACUUAUUAAAACCUAACUAAAAUGAAUGUUUAUGCAAAAGGUAAUCAAAAUGUAAUAAGAACACCUUAUUUGUUCUCUAAAUGACCUUGAUUCAAGUCUAAAAUUGAUGUAAUAACUCUAAUUUCCUAGAGUUAUCAAUAUGCUUCCAUUUUGUUAUUUAUAAUUUAUUUAAUUUUGAAUUUUUUUUAAUUGUUGGCUGUUGCUGUUAAUAUAUUAGAGUGCUGGAAACGUGAUCGAUUUGAUUCAAACGCAAAGAAGUAGCAAUAAUGAUGAUGAUAUCGUUGAUUAUAAGUGGGAGGUUCGAACCAAGAAACAAACGAGCUUAUUUGUAUUUAGUUUGUUUAGAAGUUGAAUUUGUAUUUGAUUUGUUGAAAUCCUGGAUAUGUAUUUCUAUUUGAUUUUUUAGUUGAAUUUAGUUUUUUUUUCAAUUGGAUUCAUCAAUCCGGGUUGGAAACCUGCAAUCCGAGAACCCGAAUUUUCCCGGGUUGAACCCGUGCCUGACCCGAAGUGGAAAAAGGCAGGUUUAUUUCCGGGUCCAGUACAGAAAAUAUUCGUCUGGGUCAGGAUCUGGAAUGGCUAAACCCAGACCCGGACCCAAAUUUUACCAUCCCUAAGCCACACCAGCCACCAAGUGUUUAUGAAGGGAGAAUACAAGUUUGGCCAAGUACUCUAGGCAACUUGGACCGUUUAUAGUAGUAUUUGUAUUUAGCUUAUACCAAUUUUCUUGUGGGGCGAACAAUUGAAUUUCAUUGUAAAAGAAUUAUUGUAAAUUGAAAGAUUUUUAAACGGAAAAAAAAAUUAUUAAGAAAAAGGGUAUUUUUGACAAUAGGUGAAUUAUAAUUGAAAUAGGAUUUUUAAUAGAAUUUUGGAGGGGUGCUAAUAGUCCAACUCUUUGUAAAUAUACCGGUACUCUUCUCAAAUUUCAACGGUCCAAGUUCUCACUUCUGCAAAUUAUAUCAUCGUAGGCCCAAAAUCACAAGCCCAGGGGUGAAUGAAAAGACCGAGCCCCGCGCAAAUGCAAUUCAUUUAUUUGUAAGAGAAGUCAAAACGUGUCGCCAAUCAAAUAAUAUAGAUGAUGAUUCCAACAUUCCAAUGGCCGGCGGGAGCUAUUGUCAAAAGGACAGAGAAAUUCAAGAACAGACCAAUAUAGAGGAAGUAAAGAACAAGAGUUUUGAGGUGGAUCCCGUACAACUUGCCAAAAUGGCGAAGGGAUUAAUAGUACUUUCUUCAGAUUUGGUGGUGCUCUUUAUUAUCUUCGGAGAGGAGAUUUCCCAUGUUUAGUAAGAAGAAACGAGAAGAGGGGAGAGGCAUGGAAAGGAGAGAGAGGAACACAAGAUGAGGAAAAAAGAAAGUCAAAUUCAAUUUCCUUAUUUGGUUCUUAUAUAUAUGAAAUUCUUUUUUCUUUUUCUUUUUUUUUUUGUAUUGGGGUGUUACACCCUCCUUUGGUCUUGCCCUAACUUUGGCCAGGCACGUUUAUGUACCAAAAAAAUAAAAUUUAUUUUUUUGCCCUCUAUUUUUUUUUCCUUCUUCUCCUUUCCUUUCCUUUCAUUUCUUCAAAUAAAUACACCAAUAUCCAUUAGAAUUUUAAAUUUAAAGUGAAACGGUCGAAAUUUCACCACAAAAGUGAGCAAUUGGGGGUACUAAUACAGCUGUAUAGUGCUCACUAGACACAUUCGCUCGGGAAGAAAAAGAAGGAAAAGAUAACAAGGAACCAUCUUCUUUUUAUCAUGCGUCACUCUCUAGCUAGCUUGUUAGCCAAAUUCUGGGGGAAAAGUGAUGUACACAAGAGGGAAUAUUUCGUGGAUUCCGCCUUCAUCACAUCAUGAUAUUCGAUUGCAUGGCUGGAUACUCUACUCAUUAGUUCUUUUAUAUGUGGUUUGACAACUAAGCACAUUCUUUUUACGUCGAUUCCACAACAUCCAAGUAAGUAAUGGGUUUAUGGGUAAAAAACAAUUAUGAAACCCUUCAAAGUCUCGUUAAUUAGAGUAAUGAUAUUCGAAUUCCUUAUUAGUCUAUCUUGUUAUUUUUUUAUUCUAUCUCCCCUCACUCCCCUAGUUUAAUUUAUCAAUAACAAGUACAUAAUCAUCAACAACACCACAACUUAUCUUUUUCACCCAUCUAUCUAUCACCUCCACCGACAUAUGAUGAUUUUCAAUUUUAGAUUUUAUUAAAUCUUAUGAACAAUUGGUGGGUUUUGUUGUUAUUGAUAAUAGGGAAAAGGGCAAACACACCCACAACGUUUAGACAAAUGAACAAAAACCCCUCCUAACGUUUCAAAAAAGACAUUUACACCCAAAUUCACUAACGAAAACAGUAACUUAUAACAGAAAUUACCGCUAUACACUUCUAGCAUAUAAAAAAAAUACAAGUUUAACUUGUGGUAUUAAUACCAUAAAAUUUUAUUUAAAUUUUAAACUUAUAUAUUUAACAAUUCUCCACAUGUUAUCAUUUAAACUUGUAUAUUUAUAAUUACUUUUUUAUGUUAUUUAUUAUGGUAUUAAUUGAAAUACAAGUUAACAUUAAUAACCAAUUUUAUUUAUUUUUAUUCUUGAGUAAUGAAUUAAAUUUAUUUGGCUUGAAGAGGGAAUUUGAUAAAAAUUUAAAUAGAGGAAUUGAGUAAUGAGGGUAUAUUUAUAAUUUUAUUAAUAAUAUAUGGACAAAUUGGAUAAUCAAUAAUUUUUUAUAUGGUAGAAGGGUAUAACGGUAAUUUCUAUUAAAAGUUACUGUUUCCGUUAGUGAAUGGGGGUGUAAAUGUCUUUUUUGAAACGUUAGGGAGAUUUUUGUCUUUUUUGUCUAAACGUUGAGGGUGUGUUUGUCCUUUUCCCUUGAUAAUAUUGCUUUAUGUGAUUAUCUAAGAUUUUGUUUAAUUUAAUUUGGAAUUUGAUUAGGAGUUAAUAUUUGAUUUAAAUUAUAUAUCAAUUUAAAAAAUGAGAGAGAUAUGAGAGAUGAGAAAUUAAUCUAUUGAGAGCUUGAGACAAAAAAAUAUAUAUUAAUUUUUUAUUAUUUUUAUUUUGUAAUAAGGACAAUUUUGAAAUAAAUAAUAUUAAUUAAAACGUGGCAGCUACUGAGAUAAAUGUGUCAAAUAUCAUCACUUUAUUAACUAUGAACUCCUUUUAUUAUCUCAUACCUCUUAUUUUAGAUUUAAGAAGAUAACCUAUUUUAUCAAAAAUAAAAUGUUUAUGAGAGAAGUUAUAUUUUCUUAGUUUGUUCUUGCUUGUCUGCCUUGAGCAAUUUUAUUCUAGUAUGAAAUGAAAUAUGUCUAGUUAUAAUUCUUGUUGAAUUUUAAUGUUUUUUUUCGGUGUAUUAAACCAUCUGGUAUCCGAAGACCACAUUGGGUCCCGACUAAUCGAGAUUCGAGCCGGGUAAGACCACUACGACGGCAAAGCUCUUCCAAUAAGUAUUUAAUGCAAUUAUAUUCUCAAGCCUCGAAUUGAUGACCUUAAUUAAGUUAGAACAACCUCAUGCCAGUUGAUCUACGUACUUGUUAGUAAUUUUAAUGUAUUUCUUUUGGCCUAUAUACAUAUAUAUGUAUACAUAUGUGCGUGCACCCACACACACACACACACACUAAAUACACAUUAAGGGUGAGCGUUCAGAUCGAGUUGUACCUUAUAACCCAUUUGGGUUGUAUUUCGGUUUGGGUUCAACCCGAACCGAAUAACCAACCCGAACGGGUUAACUAACAAAUAAAAAAAAUUUAAAAACACUUUUGUAACCCUAACUAUCACAAUUCACACACACACACUUCUCAUCCUCAGCCACCGCCUUCACUUUUCCUCUGCUUGUCCUCUUCUUCUUCUUUUUUUCUUUUCCUCUUUUUCUUCCGUCACUGCCAAAUAUCAUCUUCUUUUCUUCUUCUUCUUAUUUUCUUUUUCUUUUUCUUCUUCUUUAGUUCUUUUUCUCUUUUUCUUCUUCUUUAGUUCUUUUUGUCUUUUUCUUCUUCUUCUUCUUUCCUUCCGCCACCGCCCAAACAUCUUCUUCUUCUUCUAUCCUUCGCUGCUGCCAAAAAUCUUCUUAUUCUUCUUUUCCUCCUCCACUAUCGAAUAUUUAUUCUUCUUUUUCUGAUUUCCCAUUAAUUAAUUUUUAGUAAUUAAUUUUUUAUUCUUAGUUAAUUUUUUAAUUUUAUUUUGUCAAGUGUUGUUAAUUUUUUUUUUGUUAAUUGUUAAAUAUAAAUUUGUUUAUGUAAUUUAGUUAAUUUUUUGAGAUUAUGAGAAAUGUAAA